CUUAACAAAAUCAUGGCCGAUGUAUCGUAUUGGUGAACUUAAUUCCCAAAUUCUUUUUAAACUUCUCUUUAGUGGUAAAAACUUCAUUCCUGCUGCUGGGUAUUUCAUUUUUAUCUUUAAUUUGGUGUAAUUUUAGUAUUUUGCGUGUAUCCAAACUUCAUUGAAUUUCUUUGUUGGUCUUUCUUCCAUCCUACAUGUGGGUUUUUAAUUUGUUCUCUUUGUUUAUUUGGAUUUUCUUCCAUUGAUUUGGAUGUCUCUUUUAAUUUGGGUCUUCAGAAUAAAUAAAAUAUGGUUUUAGAGCUUAGGAAUUAAUGUUCCUACAUGGAAAUAAUUCAUCUUAACAGGAUCCUAGUGAGGAGUUGUUUGGUUAAUGAAUUACAACGUUAGGCACCUUCUUAUCUCUUUCGUUCCCAGUGAUCGAUUGGAUAUUCAAGACGACCUCUUCUUCCACAUAAAAGUUCAUAGUAGGGAUUAAGGUUUAUUACUUAUCUCCUAGUACACCUACUCAAAGCAGCCCAAUAGGUGAGGGUACAUCUACCCGGAGCAACACUAUUGGCGAAGAUAUGACUCGAGGCAAAGGUCAAGGUAGCACAGGUCGUGUGGACAAGUCCUCGGGUAGGGGUAAUUCUACUGUUCAUGUAAACAUUCCCACAAUUCUCAUUCCAACCAUAGUUAGUCCUCAACAAGGUGGUACGAGUUCCAUUGGUGGGCCACCUGUUCAACUAGCUGGUCACAAUAAUACCCCAACCAUCCCUGAAUCAUCUCCUAUUUAACCUACUCAAAGCAGCACAAUAGGUGAGGGUACAUCUUCCCAGAGCAGUUCGUCCUAGGGAGUGCCUACAAGUCGUGUCCAGUAGAGUCUUGUUUAUAGGUGUGAAGCGCGCCACACUUAUAAAGAAGAGGCACUACUAAAAAAAAUAGUGUUUAGCAAUGGAAUUUAGCAACAUAUCACAUUCUGUCGCUAAGUAACAACGGAUUUCGCUACGAAAUGAUCAUUUUGUCGCGAAAAUAGCAAUUAAAAUUUUAGCUAAUUAUAUAGCGACGGAUUAGCGAUAGAAACUUUAUUAGUGAGUCUUAACAAAAUCAUGGCCGAUGUAUCGUAUUGGUGAACUUAAUUCCCAAAUUCUUUUUAAACUUCUCUUUAGUGGUAAAAACUUCAUUCCUGCUGCUGGGUAUUUCAUUUUUAUCUUUAAUUUGGUGUAAUUUUAGUAUUUUGCGUGUAUCCAAACUUCAUUGAAUUUCUUUGUUGGUCUUUCUUCCAUCCUACAUGUGGGUUUUUAAUUUGUUCUCUUUGUUUAUUUGGAUUUUCUUCCAUUGAUUUGGAUGUCUCUUUUAAUUUGGGUCUUCAGAAUAAAUAAAAUAUGGUUUUAGAGCUUAGGAAUUAAUGUUCCUACAUGGAAAUAAUUCAUCUUAACAGGAUCCUAGUGAGGAGUUGUUUGGUUAAUGAAUUACAACGUUAGGCACCUUCUUAUCUCUUUCGUUCCCAGUGAUCGAUUGGAUAUUCAAGACGACCUCUUCUUCCACAUAAAAGUUCAUAGUAGGGAUUAAGGUUUAUUACUUAUCUCCUAGUACACCUACUCAAAGCAGCCCAAUAGGUGAGGGUACAUCUACCCGGAGCAACACUAUUGGCGAAGAUAUGACUCGAGGCAAAGGUCAAGGUAGCACAGGUCGUGUGGACAAGUCCUCGGGUAGGGGUAAUUCUACUGUUCAUGUAAACAUUCCCACAAUUCUCAUUCCAACCAUAGUUAGUCCUCAACAAGGUGGUACGAGUUCCAUUGGUGGGCCACCUGUUCAACUAGCUGGUCACAAUAAUACCCCAACCAUCCCUGAAUCAUCUCCUAUUUAACCUACUCAAAGCAGCACAAUAGGUGAGGGUACAUCUUCCCAGAGCAACACUAUUGGCGAAGGCGAAUCUAGUAAUAAUCGUAGGCAGCGGACACUUAAUCUUGUUACUUUGACACCUAAAGGGUUGGGACCUUCUAAAGAAUGCUCUAAUGCCAUGUCCGAGACUUUCAAAAAUCAAGUUGAUGUUGAUGCAAUCAAUUGGAAAGGUGUCUCAGAAGAAACAAAAGAUUUUUAUUUUGGAGAAUUCAAGAAGGUAUACUAUUGGGACUCUUCCAUUCAUGAAACUGCAAUCUAGAAACAAUGGAAAAGUAAGGCAGCAAAAAUGUAUAGGGAUUUCAUUUCCAAAAUAAAAAACAAAGGAAUUUAGCCAGAUUAUGUGCCUGAUAAUGUGUGGGAAAGUUGGAUGCGACUUUGGGUGGAUCCUAAGAGCGUUGAAAAGUUAGAAAUAAAUGCAAAAAGUCAUUGUGGCGGGGGUGAAGUCACAGCUGGGACUCACACGGGUGGCUCUAUCUCCAUUAGGGAGCAUUGCAAGAAAUUGGCUGUUGAAAAGGGUCAAGAUCCAACCCCAAGUGAGAUGCAUUUGCACGUCCGUACACAUGGUCAUGAUGGAAAAUCUUUUCUUGAUGAGCGUACCCAAGCUGUCCAUGAACGAUAUCUAGAAAUAUUACGGGAAAAAUCACAGUCUCAGUCUGAUAUUGAUCAAUCUGAAGCUUAUUACCUAGCUGCGGGAGGAGAAAAGAAGAGAAGAAUGUAUGGUCUUGGAUCUGAAGCGAAAACUUACUAAUCACAUGCUUCCGAUAUUUAUUGAGCAGGAACGUGGAGUCAUUUCUACACCAUCGCAUGAGCCAAAUACUCCUAAUGACAACUCAUCAGCUGUGACACCUAUAGUGCCUCCUCCUCCUACUGCUAAUGUUGACGAGUUUGAUCCUUCACAUUCAGAUGAUGACCGUAGUCUUUCACCCAUGCAUUAGCUUUUUAUAUGGUCUGUUUUUUGUUGGAAAGAACAAAAUUAUGCAUUAACAAUGCUUGAUGGAUGUGGGUUCUUUUCAGUACAUAGUUGAUAGAUGCUUGGUGAUGUCGAUGUUUUGGAUGUAAUUAAGCUAUAUGGAUUUCAUAAUCUAUUUUGAACCUUCUAUAAAUAUUAUUUUAUAUCAAUGUCAGUU